rnacentral:rRNA from 1 species
GACCCCAGGUCAGGCGUGGCCACCCGCUGAAUUUAAGCAUAUCAAUAAGCGGAGGAGAAGAAACUUACGAGGAUUCCCCUAGUAACGGCGAGCGAACCGGGAGCAGCCCAGCUGAGAAUCGACGCAGCCAGUAC